rnacentral:rRNA from 1 species
AGAGUUUGAUCCUGGCUCAGGACGAACGCUGGCGGCGUGCUUAACACAUGCAAGUCGAGCGAUGAAGCUCCUUCGGGAGUGGAUUAGCGGCGGACGGGUGAGUAACACGUGGGUAACCUGCCUCAUAGAGGGGAAUAGCCUUUCGAAAGGAAGAUUAAUACCGCAUAAGAUUGUAGUACCGCAUGGUACAGCAAUUAAAGGAGUAAUCCGCUAUGAGAUGGACCCGCGUCGCAUUAGCUAGUUGGUGAGGUAACUGCUCACCAAGGCGACGAUGCGUGGCCGACCUGAGAGGGUGAUCGGCCACAUUGGGACUGAGACACGGCCCAGACUCCUACGGGAGGCAGCAGUGGGGAAUAUUGCACAAUGGGGGAAACCCUGAUGCAGCAACGCCGCGUGAGUGAUGACGGUCUUCGGAUUGUAAAGCUCUGUCUUUAGGGACGAUAAUGACGGUACCUAAGGAGGAAGCCACGGCUAACUACGUGCCAGCAGCCGCGGUAAUACGUAGGUGGCAAGCGUUGUCCGGAUU